ensembl:lncRNA
AAAUUAGUAAAACCACUUUGGAAAACUGUCUAGUCGUAUAUACUAAAGCCAUGUAACUACCCUAUGACCCCAAAAAUUCCACACUUAAGUAAUAUCGAGUUAAGUGAAUAUGUUCACCAAAACAAAUGUAUAAGAAUGUUCAUAGCAGCCUGAAAAUGGGAAACUAUCUAAGUGCCCAUCAACGUUAGAAUGGAUAGAUUUUAAAUGUUAUAUUCAUAAAAUGAAAUGCUAUCCACCAAUGAGGAAGGGCAAUCUAUAAUUCAUGCAACAAUAUAGAUGUAUCUCACAAGUUUAUUGAUGAGGGAACAAGAUCAGACACAAAGGAGUCAGUAUCACGAACCCCAGCGAGCAGCUCCCCAACAUGCCUACCUUAUUUGUGCAGCUUAACUUCAAUUCACUUCAUUGUCAGUUCUGGUUAGUGAUUUGAAGAUUUGCAGGGGAGACAUCAGAAAUGCCCAUUUCUAGACUUCAUAGGUUAGCAAAGUGAUAGACAACCAAAAUUUCAUAUAUAAAACAUUCGGUGGCAUAAAUAUACAAAAUAUUUUUUAUUUAUAUAUAACAUCCGAUACAACACACAUGCACAUGUUUUGCUUUUGUGGAAAACUACUGUCCUUUCUUUCUCCCCCUCAACCCCCACCUGCAACGCAUCACUUUGCUCUGUGUUGCUCUAGUUAAAAAAUAAUCACAUAUGAUCUCACUUGAAUGUGCAAUCUAAAAAACCUGAGCUCACAGAGAAUAGAUUGCUGGUUGCCAGAGGUGGGGGUUUGGUGGGUGGGAAAAAUGAGUAAAUGUGAACAAAAGGUACAAACUUCCUGCUAUAAAAUAAAAGAGUCAUGAGAUCUAAUGUACAGCAUGGUGACUAUAGUUAACAAUACUGUAUUGGACAUUUGAAAGUUGCUAAGAAAGUAGAUCUUAAAUGUUCUCAUCACAAGAAAAAAAUUGUAACAUUUCACAGCAACAGAUGUUAACUAAACAUACUGUGGUGAUCAUUUUGCAAUAUAUACAUAUAUCAAAUCAUUGUGUUGUAUACCUAAAACUAAUACAAUGUUAUAUGUCAAUUAUAUCUCAGUGAAAAAAAAAUCACAAUGUUUGUUGGAAAAUGAAGUCUGUAAAUAAGAAUUCUCCGGAGUCAAGCAGAUAAAGUCUCAUCCUUCUCUCUCCCCAAAGAUGAAGACAGAUGACAUGAGUAGAGCCAUAUUAAAAUAGAGCCAGAGCAGCCGUUUCAGAGGAACUGCCUUGCACGUCUUGUUUUCUUUAUCUUCCAAACUGGACAAAACCACCAACAUUCCAAGAAGUCAGUGAGAACAAGAAUAUCCUGUCUGUCAGGACUGAUGAAAUUGGACUUUGCUGAUGAUGGAAUCGCUAACCAGUCAAUGAAGUACAAACCUAGCCUUCCCUUAUCUAGCACCAAUGAACUCUUCUUUAAUACAACUCAGCUCAUCUCCUUUUUUCCCAUAAAACCCCCAAGUUUUUCUCCUAUAAUUGGGACACUAUUUUAGGUUUAUACCUAAAUCUGUGCUCCCUGAAUUGCAAUUCUUUGAUCCCAAAUAAACGCUUUGCCUCUUAAAAC